rfam:Oryza glumipatula chromosome 12, whole genome shotgun sequence.
UUUAAGUGCAACCAUAAGUUUCCGCAUUCAACUUUGAUCAUCCGUCUUAUUUAAUUUUUUUUAUAUUUAGUAUUUUUGUUGUUAUGAGAUGAUAAAACAUGAAUAAUACUUUACUAGUGACUUAUGUUUUUAAUUUUUUUCAAAAAAUUUUCAAAUAAGACAGACGUUUAAAGCUAAGCGCGAAAAACCAUGGCUGCACUUAAA